rnacentral:rRNA from 1 species
UGUUUCCMUUAAUCAAGAAMGAAAGUCAGAGGUUUGAAGACGAUCAGAUACCGUCCUAGUUCUGACCAUAAACGAUGCCAGCCAGCGAUCCGGCUGCGUUUCUCAAACGACGCGCCGGGCAGCUUCCGGGAAACCAAAGCCUUUGGGUUCCGGGGGGAG